CAAGCCGGGAAGGGAUAAACGCUGAAGGCAUCUAAGCGUGAAGCCCCCCUCAAGAUGAGAUAUCCCAUAACGUCAAGUUAGUAAGACCCCUUGAAGACGACGAGGUAGAUAGGGCAGAGGUGGAAGUGCGGUAACGCAUGGAGCUGACUGUUACUAAUCGGUCGAGGGCAUAACCAA
rnacentral:rRNA from 1 species